rnacentral:miRNA from 1 species
AGCAGAACGCAGCGGGCAUGA